rnacentral:rRNA from 1 species
ACUCCUACGGGAGGCAGCAGUGGGGAAUCUUAGACAAUGGGCGCAAGCCUGAUCUAGCCAUGCCGCGUGAGCGAUGAAGGCCUUAGGGUUGUAAAGCUCUUUCGUGGGGGAAGAUAAUGACGGUACCCCAAGAAGAAGCCCCGGCUAACUCCGUGCCAGCAGCCGCGGUA